rnacentral:lncRNA from 1 species
UUUUGAGUGAAAUCCAAUCUCUAGAACUAUACAAUACACCAAUUACCCAAUUUCAGAACGAACUUCGUACGAACCUGAAUUGUCCGAUUUCAAGGACCAAUCGAUAUCAGAUUAAGUUCAAAACUUGGGGAACAUCAUAAUAUUUUGGGAGGAGUCAUUUGGUGGGUUUUGAGUGAAAUACAAUCCUUAGAACUAUACAAUACACCAGCCACUCCAUUUCAGAACGAACUUCGUACGAACCUGAAUUGUCCGAUUUCAAGGACCAAUCGAUAUCGGAUUGAGUCCAAAACUUGGGGAACAUCAUAAUAUUGUGGGAGUAGUCAUUUGGUGGGUUUUUAGUGAAAUCCAAUCUCUAGAACAAUACAAUACACCAAUCACCCCAUUUCAGAACGAACUUCGUACGAACCUGAAUUGUCCGAUUUCAAGGACCAAUCGAUACCGGAUUAAGUCCAAAACUUGGGGAACAUCAUAAUAUUGUGGGAGUUGUCAUUUGAUGGGUUUUGAGUGAAAUCCAAUCCCUAGAACCAUACAACACACCAAUCACACCAUUUCGGAACGAACUUCGUACGAACCUGAAUUGUCCGAUUUCAAGGACCAAUCGAUAUCGGAUUGAGUCCAAAACUUGGGGAACAUCAUAAUAUUGUGGUAGUAGUCAUUUGAUGGGUUUUGAGAGAAAUCCAAUCUCUAGAACUAUACAACACACCAACCACCCCAUUUCGGAACGAACUUCGUACGAAC